UGACAGCACUCUGGAGAGACUCAAUUAAGGGCGCCGAAGGGGCAAUACAAUGAUGUGUUGUAAAUCUCUCAGGCAAAAGGACAGAGGUUAACUA
rnacentral:ncRNA from 2 species